CACAGUUUUCCCACCGAUUCCCGUACGUUCACCGAAGUUAAACUACGUCGAGCCUGGUCAGUACUUAAAUGAGUGACCGAUUGGGAAUACAGGGUGCUGUCA